rnacentral:rRNA from 1 species
UACGAAGGGGGCUAGCGUUGUUCGGAAUUACUGGGCGUAAAGCGCGCGCAGGCGGUUCUCCAAGUCAGUGGUGAAAGCCCGGAGCUCAACUCCGGAACUGCCAUUGAAACUGUUGAACUUGAGGACGAGAGAGGUGAGUGGAAUUCCCAGUGUAGAGGUGAAAUUCGUAGAUAUUGGGAAGAACACCGGUGGCGAAGGCGGCAUCCUGGACCGACAUUGACGCUGAACGGCGAAAGCUAGGGGAGCAAACGGG